AAAUCUAUUUUAUCAAGAUCACAGGUGGGGUGCAAGUUUUUUUUCUGCUCUGAAGUUAUCAGUUGGAUUUGCACAGGUUUACAAAAAUAUCAAGAGACUUAACACAAGUAGAGAAGGCUCCAAGGAAAAAAAAGUUUGGAGCCACUGAAUUAAAGUAGCGUUUAUCUUGUUACACCCAUCCGCUACAAUCUCUCCGGGGAAAGCCAACAACAAUCCUGACUCCUAUGCAAUGGUGGACUGAUGAAAAACAUUCCGGACACCGAAUGAACCAACAAGCCAUGUUUGGCAAGCAAAUGUGUGCAGUGCCAGCCAUCAGCAUAUAGGAGGGGGUUUGAUACGACCCUUUUUUCACUUAUCAGAAGACAACUGACGGGCAUAUGUUAAAAAAGACAAGGA